UCGCGCAAGACCGGUACAAUGGCGCGGCUCACCAACUGGUGAGUGUCGUUAUGGUGACCCCAUCGGUCCCCCCGCAACGAUUACCCGUGAACCUGGUCAGAUCCGGAAGGAAGCAGCCACAGCGGGAACAUUGUGUGCCGGGGUGUGGCUGGUGGGGGCACCACCUUAACGAAUCUUCAGUCGGUCCUCGA
rnacentral:SRP_RNA from 1 species